AGUGAACGCUGGCGGUAGGCCUAACACAUGCAAGUCGAACGGCAGCACAGUAAGAGCUUGCUCUUACGGGUGGCGAGUGGCGGACGGGUGAGGAAUACAUCGGAAUCUACUUUUUCGUGGGGGAUAACGUAGGGAAACUUACGCUAAUACCGCAUACGACCUACGGGUGAAAGCAGGGGAUCUUCGGACCUUGCGCGAUUGAAUGGGCCGAUGUCGGAUUAGCUAGUUGGCGGGGUAAAGGCCCACCAAGGCGACGAUCCGUAGCUGGUCUGAGGGGAUGAUCAGCCACACUGGAACUGAGACACGGUCCAGACUCCUACGGGAGGCAGCAGUGGGGAAUAUUGGACAAUGGGCGCAAGCCUGAUCCAGCCAUACCGCGUGGGUGAAGAAGGCCUUCGGGUUGUAAAGCCCUUUUGUUGGGAAAGAAAAGCAGCAGGUUAAUACCCCGCUGUUCUGACGGUACCCAAAGAAUAAGCACCGGCUAACUUCGUG
rnacentral:rRNA from 1 species